ensembl:lncRNA
CGGAGAGGACGAAUGUUCUUUUCAAAGCAGAAAAAGAGAAAUCUAAGAAUCAACUUAUUCAUUAGCAGUUCUCACAAAAGGAAAAGAAAAGAGGAAAGAAAAGUUUUCUUUAUCUUAAGAGUGAGUAUAGCUUUAAAUAUUUUUUUUCCUGUGGAACUCUGACUCAGUCAGCCCCUGCUUACUCAUUUUCUCAAUCACUGUUUUUUGCUUCUUUGGUGUUUUUCUCUGUAUUCUCUGUUUCUUUUUCUUCCUUUCUUUUUUUUUUAAACUUCCACUAUGACUUUUCUUGUUUUCUUGCAUUCAUUCAUCUCUUUUUCUAGUAUAACUUCCAUUUCCCAAGCUCACGUCCAUCAACUUCACGUUUUUCUCCCUCUCUCCGUUCCAUGUCUCUCUCCCAUCAAUUCAUCACUGAGCUCGCUGUCACAUUAAUGUGUUUCUUCUGACUGUUUUUCCAACUGUCAUUGUGGCUGAGAUACCCCCCACCUCCCAACCACCGCCACAGCCCCCCCAUCCCUUCUGCGCUCACUCCCGCAGCCCCCCACCCCCCCAUACACACACACUUUGUGAAUGCGUGUGGUCCAGUCCGGCCAUAGACUGUUACAUUGUCCCAGACAGGUUGGACUGCGCCACUAGCCAGCAGACGAGGGGGGGAUGGGGGGAGGUGGAAAGCGGGGGUUCCUAGGCAAUGUUUGUUUUUCUGUUUCCAAUUUGGUCCAGCCUGAGGAACUCCACACUCCGCUCUGUCUCAAACACACCAUUCAUGACGGCCUGACGUACAUGAUUACACACACAUGCCCACUCGCCAGCUCUCCGCUCGCUCCGAAGCACGCACACACAUGCAAACAGACGCACACACGCAUUACAUGCUCUCACUGCCUCCAACAGACGCACAGACUUAGUGUAAAUCCACGACGACAAACAUAGCACUCGAGUUCAUUUACAAUCAUUUUUGUCACGAAACACAAGACCCUCAAUUUAUCUUUGUCCUCAUCUUUUAUUGUUUUCUGAUUUGUUAUUGCUAAUGCCGGCUCAAAUGACAUGGUGGUCAAACUAAUUACACUCGUUUCUUCCUCAUCUUUCGGCAAUUUUUUUUCCUCUGCUGUCCCAAGGAAAAUAAUUGUCUUUGAAGGGCCGUUUUGAUGUGUCUUGUUGCCUUUUCAGAUCUUAU